CAAAGUUGUGCAACAACUUUCAGCAUGAAUAAUAAUUAAAGAGUAUGAAAAUGAAAGGGCCUCUGCAGAUAAAAAGGUGACCCCAACUAACUGACAGUGUUAGAAGUUUGGCAGCAAAUUACUUAAAUAAGGUAAAAGAAAGAGUUGGGAGUUGAUGGAAGCAAUAAUAGAGUGGAAGAAAAGAUUGGGAGUGAAUGAAUAAUUGUCAUUGGGGAAUCCACCACCAAUCCAUGUGCUUUAUAUAUAUAGAUAUAUAUAUGUAUAUAUGUAUGUAUAGGUGUAGAUUUCUUCAAAGCUCGGGCAUCUUGUAAUGUUAACGACAAGUCUCCUUCAUUGGAUUUGGAUUUGUAGUGCAAUUUCAUCAUGACUUUUCGUCCUUUUCAAGGUGAGAAAUAAAUAAAGAUGCCCGAGUAGUGGACGAAUUUUUAG